rnacentral:rRNA from 1 species
CAGUAGCUUGCUACUGAUGAGAGUGGCGCACGGGUGAGUAACGCGUAUGCAACCUACCUUUGACAGGGGGAUAGCCCGGAGAAAUCCGGAUUAAUAUCCCAUGGUAUUUAUAACUCGCAUGAGUUUUAAAUUAAAGAUUUAUCGGUCAAAGAUGGGCAUGCGUGACAUUAGUUUGUUGGUGAGGUAACGGCUCACCAAGACUACGAUGUCUAGGGGUUCUGAGAGGAUGAUCCCCCACACUGGUACUGAGACACGGACCAGACUCCUACGGGAGGCAGCAGUGAGGAAUAUUGGUCAAUGGGCGCAAGCCUGAACCAGCCAUCCCGCGUGAAGGAAGACGGCCCUAUGGGUUGUAAACUUCUUUUCUGCACCAAGAAUGGGCACUACGUGUAGUGUUUUGACGGUAGUGCAGGAAUAAGCAUCGGCUAACUCCGUGCCAGCAGCCGCGGUAAUACGGAGGAUGCAAGCGUUAUCCGGAUUCAUUGGGUUUAAAGGGUACGUAGGUGGCCCAGUAAGUCAGUGGUGAAAUCCUGCCGCUUAACGGUAGAACUGCCAUUGAAACUGCUGGGCUUGAGUACAGUUGAGGUAGGCGGAAUGUGUAGUGUAGCGGUGAAAUGCUUAGAUAUUACACAGAACCCCGAUUGCGAAGGCAGCUUACUAAACUGUAACUGACACUGAGGUACGAAAGCGUGGGGAGCGAACAGGAUUAGAU